UUCACUAAUCGACCUUGUUGCCUAGAAGGGUCCCAAUGACUGGUAUUUUUACGAGAUUCUGUGAAAAAUUCCAUAUCCCAUUCGAUUUCUAAAUACCUAAUGUCAAAAAGAAAGUAUAUACGUAUUAACAGCAAGAUAAUUAUGUAAUAUAUAAUAACAGUUAUCACAUUCGGUUCAGGGUCAUAGCUGAUGUAAGAUAAGUGAACUGCUGAGUAAUACAUUUGUAGUCUUCGUAUUUUCUUCUCUCACAAUUACAGCAUUUCAAAUGUAUUUAUAUAAUCGAACGCAAACACUAAAACUAAUUUUAACAAAAAUAUCGUCCCCUAUCAACGUAUCAGUACAAUCACGAUCAUCUUUACUAUUGCGAUACAAUGUUAUUACAGUCAUAAAUGUCGCGCGUAAAUUUUACGUCCUUUUGUGCAAUUUUAAUACCCGAAUUGCGACUAAUGAUUGGUCAAAGUCAACCGAUAAGAACCGAACGUGACUAUAAAAUUUAUUCGUAAAGUUUAAACGUUCCAUUUGUUGUUAAGAUUCACGACGUUAAUUACGUGUAACGGUAAAUGUUGUUUAUUGUAAUGUUCAUAGUUUUCUGUUCGUAUAAUUGCAAGCGAUGUAUUGUAGGCAGCACGCACUUAGAGAUAUAACACGUUUGACUUGAUAAGAAUCCGUAUCAAUCGUUAAGUCCGAACGAUCGUUAUCUAUGUAAUGCGUGCAUCGAAAGUCUGCCAGGCGUAUUUCAAUCUGUCAUUGUUCAACGUACAAUAAAUAUUGCUUCAUAGACGAAUCGACUGGAGUAUUUUAGUUAUCGAGAUCGCGCGAAUGGAAAUUAGCUUCGACCAUUUAAAUUACGAUUAUUACGAUACAAUUUGAAUGAUCGUCGAAUUUCGCACUCGUGGAUACAGACGCUGAUUCCAAUCGACUAACAUAAUCGUUUAACCGUUAAAAAUUGGAACCUUAUCGUUGAAGAGAGACGAUCAACGGUUUCUUCGUUAACGGCGAAUUGAUUAUGUUAUCAGCCAGUUUUCUUACGAAGUAGCAGUAGCUUAUCAUUUCUUAUAAUUCCUACCUGUAAUCUUACGAUCGGGCAUAUCGCUUUUAGAGUGCAAUUAAGAAAAGUUUAAUCUUGCCAAUUCACCUAUACUCUAAAGAUAUGACAUUGCAUAUCGCCGAAUAUUAUGGAAACGCGAUUGUAUGGCACACUUUCUACAAAGAGAGAAAGAGAGAGAGAGAGAGAGAGAGAGAGGGAGAGAGAGAGAGAAAGAGAGAGAGAGAGAGAGUAAUGUUAAAAAAUAUUUGGAGAUAUUUAUCGGAGAUGGGGAGUUGAAAAAGACGGAGGGUAGUUUCUAGGGAUCAAUGAAAUUCGAUUGCCUGGAAGUCGGCGUCGCGAAGGGGAUGCUAAAACGACGGUUCGUUGCGCAUCGACGCGUCCUCUUUGUUGGAAACGCUUUUACACCCUCGAACGUUGCGUUCGGAGGCCCUCGUUACUCCGAAGAAUUUCUAAUAAAAUGUCAAUGAAGAAAGCAGAUCUUUCUUUUUAAGUGGUCGCGCAACGUGGAACGAUCGCGUAGUUGUAUACAUAUGUAUAGUGUAGAAGCUGAAAAGUUUCGAGAGUCGGAGAGCAGCGAGGAAGAUGUCGUGCGAGGAAGAAAAAAGAGAAACGGAGGAGUCGAGGGAAGCUACGGAAGAAGGAAAGGAGGCCACCGAGGAGGACCUUCGGAUUUUCCAAACGCUUUGUAUAUCAUCGCCUCGAAAGAUCGUCGAGGAGGAAGCCAUGACCCAUGAUCUAACGACUACGUUGAGGAGCGAGCUAGCAGCACUCGAGUAUAAACGCGACCGGUUGAUGUCCGAGCUCCAAGAAACGAAGAAUCUCGUGAGAUUCCGAGAUCAACGAAUAGCCGAGUUGCAGUUAGAGGCAGAACAACUUCGCGAACAAGCAGCCAGACAGAAUUCCAUCGUAUUGAGCUUGAAGAAACGCAUACAGGAAUUGGAAGAACGCGAGAGGAAUCUUUAUACGAGCCAAGGAAGGAACGAGACCGUGCUGCGUUCUUUGCAACGAGAUUUAAAGUAUCAUCAGGAGAAGAAUCGGGAAUACGAGAAGAAGAUACGUCAGCUUGAACAGACCGUGUCGGAAGAGAUCGAAUCGAGAGAACGAGCCCGUUCAAGUUUUCAGGAAUUUACGCGGAGAUUGGCGAACGCAUUGAGCGUCGAGUAUCGCGAAACCGUUCAUCCUAGUCCUGAAAUCGUGAUGCACAAAGUGGAGGAGCUGGUGCAAGAAGCGAAUCGCGUUCGCGCGAAGAAUACGAGUAUCGAAGCGCAACUGACUACCGCCGAGGUAGACUUUAGAAGCUGCCGGGAUGCGUUGGACUGUACCGUAGCCGAGAAGGAACAACUUCAGCGUCAAGUAUCUUCGCAAUUGGUCGACUUGGAUCGUCUCAGACAGGACAAAGAAUGCCUGGAGAUGCGAUACAAAGUGGCGGAAAGGGAACUGGACGGGUUGAGGGAUAAAUUGUUAAACGCGAACAGAAGCAUAAGCAACGCGACCGGAAAUAUAUCGAAUCAAGAGGCGUUGAUCGGACAGCUGCGAGAAGAUCUGACGCAACGGGACGAAAAGUGUCAGCGCGUGCAAACCGAGUUACGCCACCUUUUGGAAUCGUUGGCAACGCUCGUCAGCGGUCCGAACAGAUUCAUCGAGUCUCACGAGAACGUCAUUAAGGAUCGCAUUAGGGAGAUCUUGGCCGAGAACAAAGAUCAGGCUCUUGCGAUUCAAAAGCUUCGAGACAAGGUAAACGCGGCGACGGAAUCGACUACUCGGCAGGGCGAAUUGAUCGAAACGACUGUGGCGAAGAUGCGAAAUCUCGAGGACGAACGAUCGGACCUGGGGAAUAAAGUUCGCAAAUUAGAAACCGAGUUGACCGAUUGCGAGCUGUUGAAGGAAUCUCUGCGCAGAGAAAAACAAAUGUUCGUAACGUUUCUCAACCGACUAGGAAAAGCGAUGCAAUUGGACGAGAUCUCGGAGGAAAUGGGUCUCGAUCUUCAAACGGAAUCGCUUCUGAUACGAGCCGAGCAACUGGCCAGAUUAGAAACCGACAAAUUAGUGGAUAAGACCUCGGUGGUGUAUCAGCUGCAGCGUCGCGUAAGGACGCUUCGGGAGCAAUUGCAACGCCGGGAUCUUCAUUUGGAUCUCCUUCGCAGAAAAUUAUCGCUUCAAGAGGACAGCGUGAAAAUGAAAUCGUUGCUGCAAAGCGAGAGAGACGAAGCGAAUCUUCGAGCGAAGAAAUUGUCGAAACAAACCGAUCGCUUGCAAGUUCAACUUUUGGAAGAGAGGUCAAGAAAUCGCGAGCUAAGCGCCCAAUUGACGGAAGCCGCGGAUUACAAAAUAGCGGCUUUGGAACGCAGUCGAAAGAUAGAAGAGGUUCAAAAACGGCUGGUCGAGAGCGAGAUGCUGAGAACUCGAUGCAACAGAAAAUUAACCCUCUUGAAAGAACAAAUGAGAACAACGAGCGAGACUGCCGAGCAGGAAAGAUCCAUCAGCGACCAUUCGUUGCAACUGCUUAGGGACGAGCUGGCGCAAGUCAAACAAAAUCUUUCCGAGAUGACGAAAAGGGAAUCCCAGCUGCAAAGUUUCCGUGUUUCCGUGGUGAAAUUAUUAUCGGAACCAAUUUGCACACCCGAUUACGAGAUAAUUUCGCGACUGCAAAAAACAAUAGCGGCACAUCGUGAUUUCACCAUGCUGUCGCGCCGAUACGACGAGCCAUUGGAUACGACCAGUCCUUCCAGAUGUACAAGCAUACAUACGAUGCAUCCUCCUAGAUCGCCAGGGUCGCGAUGCGCUCGUUACGAAGACAGCGGAUUUGCAGAUCCGCCGGAUCUUCGCGAUGUCGAAGACGAAUUCAACAAACGACCGGAUGCAGACGGUAGAGAGCGAGACUGAAGUUGCUGUGCUGGUUGAGCGCGGGAACGCGAUGCAGCGAGGUAGACGAGAGGGGACCAAGGAGGACGAAAGGAACAUCGUCUAGUAGUAUGCGAAUCCGUUCGAGCCUCGUAUCUCGUAUCUUCCUGCUCGAACCAAAGUGUGCCGCGCACUAUAUGCGUGUCGAGCACUACGCAAACAGACCUCUGGCUUUUCGAAACUUUCCUGGUCUUCUUGUCCGGUCGUAUUCCAGAGGACCGAUAUCGCAGACGAAAGCAAACGAAAUGUAUUUUCAUUUCCUUUUUUUUUCCUUCUUUACCGUUAAUUCGUAUUUUUAGUUGUUCUACCGACCACUAUUACCUUGAGUCUAUACGCAGUCUUUCGGAGUGUAGAAAAAACGCCACGUUAAAUACCACGGUAUCGCGAUACAAAAGGAGCAACAGAAAUGGGAACGGUAAAAAAAGCAAAGUAAUCAUAGAUAGUAUGUAUUUGCGAUAUUGUUGGAAGUUAUUAUUCCAGAUAAUCUCGGCUUUUACGCUAUGGCGUUUUCCAAAGAGCAAAGAAGCAGGGUUGCGUGAUUUUAUGGGGCGUGUUUCUUGCUUAGUAGAAAAGUACAUACGUACACUAUGUACAGCACAUACCUACACGUAGUACGUCGUAUACUGGUUAGCCCUGAACUUGGCCAGCAGUGAACUACCUCUUUCUUUGCAGGAACGUGAAUGCGUGAAUGCAAAGGCGUCAUCUUUGGCCUCCUUAUUUCUCGUUGCGUGCAAACACACGCGUUACGACUAUUUCGACGCCAAGCAAGUACACUGUACAUGUUACUUUCCACGCUUAAACACGUACCACGAAACGAUAUUGUCGAUCCACUGUCAAAGCUAGCAGAUAUUUAACAACAAUACAUUUCGUUCACACCUUGGCCACUCUUUCGUCCAUUUGGAAUUAUCGAUCGCGAUCGAAAGUACGAACAGAAAAUUUUCUGUUCGAGCAUAUUUUUCUUUGAUCUCGGUUCAACGAAUUUACUGGAAAGUUUCGUAACGAAUCUGUCUUCACGUUGGAUGCGUACACCGACAGUAUACCGACAUGUUGAUCAGAUUCGGAUGAAAGUAGGAAAAUAAAGAUGAAGUGGAAGUACUUGUGGAAUUAUCUUUUGUAAUUUUGAUUAUUUCGAUUAUUAUUCAGGUGAUUAGAGAUUUCGUUGAUUGUGAACAUAAUCGUGAAUUUAGCUUUCUUCGCACAAGUAUCGAUAUAUUAGGUUUUUAAUUAAGUAGAACGGAACUAGGUUUCUAUCUAGGUACACGGUGGAUUAAAUAAAGUAUCGAUAAAUAACUUAAUCAGCUACGUAAAGCCAAAAGCACGCGAUCAUGGGUAUAUCUGUGUAUGUGAAAAUGACGAUUAAAUAUGUUGCGUUCUGCUUAUCUAUCGCUUAUGCGCUUAUCUAUUUAGAAACUAACAAUGGCUGUCUGUGUCAUUUCAAUCGGAUAAAGUAGACGGAAGGACAAAAAGGGAAUAAGGAUCGUCGAAAGAAAAUGCAAUGACAAAAACUUUUAUAUGUGUAGUUAAACGACAAAAAAUUUAUAUGGCCAAUUUUUACAUGUUUCUAAUUAGUUAUGUAUACAUAUAUGCACAUAAACUCGUCAGAUUUAAAAGCCGCUGGUCGUGCCUGCACCCGUCGUACACGUAUCGUUGAGGUCGG